rnacentral:rRNA from 1 species
CCUACGGGAGGCAGCAGUCUGGAAUAUUGCGCAAUGGAGGAAACUCUGACGCAGUGACGCCGCGUGCAGGAAGAAGGUUUUCGGAUUGUAAACUGCUUUCGAUCGGGAAGAAAGAAGACAGUACCUGUAGAUUAAGCUCCGGCGAACUACGUGCCAGCAGCCGCGGGAAUCUGGAGGGAGCAAGCGUUAUCCGGAUUUAUUGGGUGUAAAGGGUGCGUAGACGGAGAAGCAAGUUAGUUGUGAAAUCCCUCGGCUUAACUGAGGAACUGCAACUAAAACUACUUCCCUUGAGUACUGUAGAGGAAAGUGGAAUGCCGAGUGUAGCGGUGAAAUGCGUAGAGAUGAGGAGGAACACCAGUGGUGAAGGCGACUUUCUGGACAGUAACUGACGUUGAGGCACGAAAGUGUGGGGAGCAAACAGGAUUAGAUACCCCAGUAGUC